rnacentral:rRNA from 1 species
GUGUCGUGAAUUCUUCAAAACCCUUUUUUCUUCGAACCAUCGUGGUCGGGAAAAGGAUUUUUGGACUUGGAGGUUUAAUGCUCGCCCUUUCUUUUGAAAGCGAGCUCCUCUCAAAUGAAUUAGUGGGGUCCGCUUUGCUGAUCCUUGACGUGAUAAAUGUUUCUUACGUUUUGGGUUUAGCACUGUCGCUUGAAUGCCUGCUCCUAACCCGUCUCAUUGACAAUGAUGGUGCUCUGGUCACCGCCGUCUACAUCGGCGGGAGGCUGGACCCACAAAAAGAAAAACCUUGACCUCAAAUCGGGUGAGACUACCCGCUGAACUUAAGCAUAUCA